rnacentral:rRNA from 1 species
CAGUGAGGAAGGUGGGUAUGUUAAUAGCAUACUCAUUUGACGUUUAGCUGCAGAAGAAGCACCGGCUAACUCCGUGCCAGCAGCCGCGGUAAUACGGAGGGUGCGAGCGUUAAUCGGAAUUACUGGGCGUAAAAGCGCAUGCAGGUGGUUUGUUAAGUCAGAUGUGAAAGCCCGGGGCUCAACCUCGGAAUUGCAUUUGAAAACUGGCAAACUAGAGUACUGUAGAGGGGGUAGAAUUUCAGGUGUAGCGGUGAAAUGCGUAGAGAUCUGAAGGAAUACCGGUGGCGAAGGCGGCCCCCUGGACCAGAUACUGACACUCAGAUGCGAAAGCGUGGGGAGCAAACAGGAUUAGAUACCCUGGUAG